rnacentral:rRNA from 1 species
UGGGGAAUAUUGGGCAAUGGGGGCAACCCUGACCCAGCAACGCCGCGUGAAGGAAGAAGGCUUUCGGGUUGUAAACUUCUUUUACCAGGGACGAAGCAGUGACUGUACCUGGAGAAUAAGCCACGGCUAACUACGUGCCAGCAGCCGCGGUAAUACGUAGGUGGCAAGCGUUGUCCGGAUUUACUGGGUGUAAAGGGCGCGUAGGCGGGAGCGCAAGUCGGAUGUGAAAUCUAUGGGCUUAACCCAUAAACUGCAUUUGAAACUGUGCUUCUUGAGUACUGGAGAGGCAGGCGGAAUUCCUAGUGUAGCGGUGAAAUGCGUAGAUAUUAGGAGGAACACCAGUGGCGAAGGCGGCCUGCUGGACAGCAACUGACGCUGAGGCGCGAAAGCGU